UGUACAUGAGAGAGAAUGCCGGAAUGAGUAGCGAGAAUUAUGUGAGAAUCAUAAUGGCCGAAAAUCUAAGGUUUCCUGAGGAAGGUUCGUCCGCUCAGGGUAAGCCGGGAGCUAAGGUGAGGCGGAAACGCGUAGCCGAUGCACAUACGGUAGAGAUUCCGUAGCCUCCGAAAAGUAAAGCACAGGGACGCUUCAGAAGUGUUACGCCGGGCGAUGGUAGCCCCGGUUGUAAAGGACACAAUUGAGUGGAAGGUAACAUGGAUGGAGACAAGAAAAGCUGUGUGUAUCUGGAAGGAGCCCGUACCGCAAACCGACACAGGUAGAUAGGAAGAAGAUUCUAAGGCCAGCGGGAGAAGGGUUGUUAAGGAACUCGGCAAGUUGACCCCGUAACUUCGGGAGAAGGGGUGCUUACGAAGGUAAGCCGCAGAGAAUAGGCCCAAGCGACUGUUUAGCAAAAACACAGCUCUAUGCUAAAUCGAAAGAUGACGUAUAUGGGGUGACACCUGCCCGGUGCUGGAAGGUUAAGAGAAGAUGUGAGAGCAUUGAAUUGAAGCCCCAGUAAACGGCGGCCGUAACAAUAACGGUCCUAAGGUAGCGAAAUUCCUUGUCAGGUAAGUUCUGACCCGCACGAAUGGUGUAACGAUUUGGGCACUGUCUCAACAACCUACCCGGCGAAAUUGUAGUACCGGUGAAGAUGCCGGUUACCCGCGACUAGACGGAAAGACCCCAUGGAGCUUCACUGUAGCUUAAUAUUGAAUUUUGGUAUUUCAUGUACAGGAUAGGUGGGAGACUGGGAAAUACAGGCGUCAGCUUGUAUGGAGUCACUGUUGGGAUACCACUCUUGAGGUGCUGAAAUUCUAACCUGCGUCUUUGAAUCAAGACGGGGGACAUUGUUAGGUGGGCAGUUUGACUGGGGCGGUCGCCUCCAAAAGAGUAACGGAGGCGCUCAAAGGUUCGCUCAGCAUGGACGGAAACCAUGCCAAAGAGUGCAAACGCAAAAGCGAGCCUAACUGCGAGACUGACGGGUCGAGCAGUAACGAAAGUUGGAGUUAGUGAUCCGGCGGUAUGUGAGUGGAAAUGCCGUCGCUCAACGGAUAAAAGCUACCCUGGGGAUAACAGGCUGAUCUCCCCCAAGAGUCCACAUCGACGGGGAGGUUUGGCACCUCGAUGUCGGCUCAUCGCAUCCUGGGGCUGAAUUCGGUCCCAAGGGUUUGGCUGUUCGCCAAUUAAAGCGGUACGCGAGCUGGGUUCAGAACGUCGUGAGACAGUUCGGUCCCUAUCUGUCGUGGGCGUAGGAUAUUUGAAAGGAGCUGUCCCUAGUACGAGAGGACCGGGAUGGACGCACCUCAGGUGAACCAGUUGUCACGCCAGUGGCACGGCUGGGCAGCUAAGUGCGGAACGGAUAAACGCUGAAAGCAUCUAAGCGUGAAGCCGACCUUAAGAUAAGAUAUCCGUUCUUCGGAAUAAGACCCCUUGUAGACUACGAGGUUGAUAGGCUUAAAGUGUAAGCAUGGUGACAUGUUUAGCUUGCAAGUACUAAUCGGUCGAUUGCUUUUCCU
rnacentral:rRNA from 1 species